GACGAACGCUGGCGGCGUGCUUAACACAUGCAAGUCGAGCGGUAAGGCCCUUUCGGGGUACACGAGCGGCGAACGGGUGAGUAACACGUGGGUGACCUGCCCUCAGCUCUGGGAUAAGCCUGGGAAACCGGGUCUAAUACUGGAUAUGACUCCAUGACGCAUGUUGUGGGGUGGAAAGCCUUGUGCGGCUGAGGAUGGGCCCGCGGCCUAUCAGCUUGUUGGUGGGGUGANGGCCUACCAAGGCGACGACGGGUAGCCGGCCUGAGAGGGCGACCGGCCACACUGGGGCUGAGACACGGCCCAGACUCCUACGGGAGGCAGCAGUGGGGAAUCUUGCGCAAUGGGCGAAAGCCUGACGCAGCGACGCCGCGUGAGGGAUGACGGCCU
rnacentral:rRNA from 1 species